rnacentral:rRNA from 1 species
AAGACUUUGGAGAGAGAGUUAAAUAGUACGUGAAAUCGCUUAGAGGUAAACGAGUGGAGCCACUCUGUUGUGUGGGAUUCAGUUAAUUGUGUGUAGUGUUUUAAUUGAUGAAAUCUCAAAAGGAUUCAUUGAUUUUACUUUAUUGCAUACAGUUAAUGCACUUUCCACACGACUUGACUGCGAUCAAUAGUGUCAUUUUUCUGUCGUAAUGAUGAAGUUGAUCAUUCGUUUUACGAUUGGUUUUAUAGCUCAUUGCAUGGUUAAAUGGUGUAUUGGUGAAUGCGAUUGGAUAUUUAUGGUUAGCAAUUGGUGAUGCUGAUAGUUUGGGAGUAAACUAGAAACUAGUUUAUUCUUUGAAUUGUCGAUGUAAUUAGUUGUUCGAUCUGUCAAUCUAAAAUCAGCAGUGUAUAUGUAGGUUACCUACUCGUCCCGUCUUGAAACACGGACCAAGGAGUUUUAUAUUAUCGCGAGUCAAAGGGCUUUACGAAACCCCAGGGCGCAAUUAAUGUAAAGGUUUGCAAUGGUAAACUGUGAUGUGACCUAGAGCUUGACUUCACGGCCGAGUUCUUGAGCAACAUCGACCCGUCUAAAGGUGUUCGCAUCUGGGCGGAGUUUGAGCGAUAAUGUAGAGACCCGAAAGAUGGUGAACUAUGCUUGUGCAGGUUGAAGCCAGAGGAAACUCUGGUGGAGGACCGCCGCGGUUCUGACGUGCAAAUCGAUCGUCGGACAUGAGUAUAGGGGCGAAAGACUAAUCGAACCAUCUAGUAGCUGGUUCCCUCCGAAGUUUCCCUCAGGAUAGCUGGCAUUUGAUGUUGUAGUUUUACCCGGUAAAGCGAAUGAUUAGAAGUAUUGGGGACGAAAUGUUUUCAACUUAUUCUCAAACUUUAAAUGGGUUCGAAGUGCUUCUCGUUUAAAUAGAGAAGUACAUUGAAUAUGAAUGCCUAGUGGGCCAUUUUUGGUAAGCAGAACUGGCGAUGUGGGAUGAACCAAACAUCUGGUUAAGGUGCCUAACAUCAUGCUCAUGAGAACCCACAAAAGGUGUUGGUUGAUAAANACAGCAGGACGGUGGACAUGGAAGUCGUCAUCCGCUAAGGAGUGUGUAACAACUCACCUGCCGAAUCAACCAGCCCUGAAAAUGGAUGGCGCUGUAGCGUGAGACCUAUACCGGAUCGAUGUUGUAAGUUACUUUCGAGUAAUGAGUAAACGGCAUCGUGUAGGAGGGUGCCGUGGUUGCUAAGAAACUGGCGUGAGGCAGAGUGGAGCGGCCACGGGUACAGAUCUUGGUAGUAGUAGCAA